GCGUGGCCGAAUGGUAACGCUGUCCGCUUUGUAAGCGGAUGAUUCUGGGUUCGAUUCCCAUCUGCUGCA
rfam:Culex pipiens quinquefasciatus supercont3.66 genomic scaffold, whole genome shotgun sequence.